rnacentral:rRNA from 1 species
UACGUAGGUCCCGAGCGUUGUCCGGAUUUAUUGGGUUUAAAGGGUGCGUAGGCGGGCUUUUAAGUCAGCGGUAAAAAUUCGGGGCUCAACCCCGUCCGGCCGUUGAAACUGGGGGUCUUGAGUGGGCGAGAAGAAGGCGGAAUGCGUGGUGUAGCGGUGAAAUGCAUAGAUAUCACGCAGAACCCCGAUUGCGAAGGCAGCCUUCCGGCGCCCUACUGACGCUGAGGCACGAAAGUGCGGGGAUCGAACAGG